GUGGGGUAUAUUGGACAAUGGGGGGAACCCUGAUCCAGCCAUGCAGCGUGUGUGAAGAAGGCCUUUUGGUUGUAAAGCACUUUAAGCGAGGAGGAGGCUACCGAGAUUAAUACUCUUGGAUAGUGGACGUUACUCGCAGAAUAAGCACCGGCUAACUCUGUGCCAGCAGCCGCGGUAAUACAGAGGGUGCAAGCGUUAAUCGGAUUUACUGGGCGUAAAGCGCGCGUAGGUGGCCAAUUAAGUCAAAUGUGAAAUCCCCGAGCUUAACUUGGGAAUUGCAUUCGAUACUGGUUGGCUAGAGUAUGGGAGAGGAUGGUAGAAUUCCAGGUGUAGCGGUGAAAUGCGUAGAGAUCUGGAGGAAUACCGAUGGCGAAGGCAGCCAUCUGGCCUAAUACUGACACUGAGGUGCGAAAGCAUGGGGAGCAAACAGGAUUAGAUACCCCAGUAGUCC
rnacentral:rRNA from 1 species